AUUCAAAUAUCUUAUAUAGAGUAUAACACUGAAGCUGUUAUUGAAGUAAUUAAUUUACUUUUGAAUA
rnacentral:tRNA from 1 species